rnacentral:lncRNA from 1 species
GUGUGGCCAAAGGAAAAAAAAAAGAAAGAAAUUAACACUAAAGUCAAGUCUGAGUGGGGUGGAUAGAGUAAUAGAGUUCAGGAAAAUCUAAAAAGCAUUUGCUUUUCUUUUUUUUUUUUAAGCUUGGGAUUAAUAAGUAGUACAUGAUGCUUUCUUUAGGGAAAAAAAGUGAGGGGCUGAGAUCUGCAAUAGAAAAUUAAUUUGUAAGCGAACUCCUGGAAAACCCAUCACUCAUCUGUAAUUUGGUUAUUUUUUCUAUUUUUCUCAGUUGCAUUAUUCCUCUUCAGUUUAGUUACAUGCCCUUGGAUCCCUCUUCAUAGUUUUUCUUCA